CUGAUCUAUAAUUAUUAAGUAUACUAAUUGACCUCAAACUCACAGAGACCCAUUAUUCUCUGCCUCCCUGUUGCUGGGAGUAAGGUAUGGACUACCAUGCUGGUUCACGAGAGAAUUAUGAAGGAUCUGGCAAGAUGGCUCAGUGGGAAAAGGCACUUGCCAUGAAAACUCCCUAAGAAUUUUUUUCUGAAGGUUUUAUGUGCUAGGUGUCCAGCACUUGGGAGGCAGAGGCAGGUGGAUCUCUGAGUUUGAGGCCAGCCUGGUCUACAAAGCGAGUUCCAGUACAGCCAGGGUUAUACAGAGAAACCCUGCCUUGGAAAAUUUAAAGCGGAAAGUUUUUAUAUAGGGCAUGCCUGCGUGUGUCUGUUUUCGUGCACGUCUGGCGUCCACAGAGCCAGAAGACGGUAUUGGUUCCCCAGGAACUGGAGUCAGAUGGCUGUGAGCUGCCAUGUUGGUGAUGAGACUCAAACCUAGGUCCUCUGGAAGAGCAGCCACUGCUCCUUAACUGCUGAGCGGUCUUUCUAGCCUCUCAUGAUCUAAUGAUUUGAUCCUUCAGUUCACAUAAAGCUGUAGAGGGGACGCCAGACUUACCCCUGGCCUCCACUGUAAAUGCCAUGUGCCAUGUGACCUCAAAGCAGGUUCCUGAGGGACACCUGAGUUCUCUGGAAAAAAAAAAAGAUGGGUGUGUGUAGGCAGGCAGAGACACAUUUAAGACCUGAGCAAGGGGUUGGGGAUUUAGCUCAGUGGUAGAGCGCUUGCCUAGCAAGCGCAAGACCCUGGGUUCGGUCCCCAGCUCUGGGGGGCGGGGACCUGAGCAGCUUAUAGCCUGGUUUUUGGAGUGGCCUAGGACACCAAGGACCAUUAUUAUGUAGACCUAGUUUCAAAUUAUGAAGACACAAAAAAUGGUGUGCCUUCACAGAGUACCAAAUUCCAAGGUAGCUUCUCAGGUGAGUUAUGGACAGAAUGCAGAAUUCAUGUAACUUUCUCUUGAAUUUUUGAGACAUGGUCUGACAUGGUCUGUGUACCCCAGGUUGGUCUCAAACUAGUGACGAUUCUCCUACCUCAGCCUCCCCAGUACUGUGACUGCAGCAGUGCCACACGUGGUUUCCUUUGUCCAAUGAAGCGGUGACUGGUACCUGGAACCUGUAUUUGCCCUAAAGUAAAAUGAAACAAACACAUGAGGGUGCUUAGGAGUUCUGACACCCUGUACAUGGGGGCAAGCUAGUUUUACUUUCCUCGCCGGCUUUUCCUCAGACGUUUGCAGUCUAGCCCAAGCUGAGCUAUAUAUAAAACUCAGGACAGUCUUGCCAUAGCCUCACAAGAGCAAGGACUGUAAGCCGUUUUUGUGCUCAGCAUUUAUGUGUGCUUUCUCUUACAUUUUUGUUUAUGAGCCUAUCCUUGAAUGGCUAAGCCAUCUCUGCAGCAGCCCCCUUCCCCAUGGUCUCGCUGUGUAGCUCUGGAACUCACUAUGUGGACCAAAUUCACAGAGAUCUGCCUGCCUCUGGAUCUCAAGUGCUGGCCCUGAACUCUGUUUUAACCUUCCACGCGCAUGAGUCUUCUGCCUCUUGAAAUCCUAGAAGUAACCCUUUUUAUGUACCUAGGCGCUAUGAAAGAGACGUAACCUCCUAUCUUUUUUUUUUUUUGGGGGGGGUUCUUUUUUUUCGGAGCUGGGAAUUGAACCCAGGGCCUUGCGCUUCCUAGGCAAGCACUCUACCACUGAGCUAAAUCCCCAACCCCGUAACCUCCUAUCUUGAG
ensembl:lncRNA